rnacentral:misc_RNA from 1 species
AGUUACAACAUGAAAGCAUAUAUAUAGACAGAAUACCAAUAAGAACAAUGCAAGUCCAGAAUAAUAUAUGUAGUAUUAUUGCCUGAGCCAUAUUUGAUAUUCUGGUCCUUUAUCGACAAACUUUUGCCAGGUACCAUCCAAAUGAACUUCUUUGGAAGGAUUCCAGUCCAAAUGACCAAGUUUCAUCACAAGAGUAUCUCCAAUCUGUGCAACGUAACCAUCACCGUUUGCAUGAUAUAUCUUUAACGGGCUACGACAAUGGAUUCCAG